rnacentral:rRNA from 1 species
GACGAACGCUGGCGGCGUGCCUAAUACAUGCAAGUCGAACGAACCGCGACUAAGUGCUUGCACUCAGUCAAGGUGAGUGGCGAACGGGUGAGUAACACGUGGGUAACCUACCUCAUAGUGGGGGAUAACAGUCGGAAACGACUGCUAAUACCGCAUAGGACAUAGGAUCACAUGAUCCAGUGAGGAAAGGUGGCGCAAGCUAUCGCUAAGAGAUGGACCCGCGGUGCAUUAGCUAGUUGGUAGGGUAAAGGCCUACCAAGGCGAUGAUGCAUAGCCGACCUGAGAGGGUGAUCGGCCACAUUGGGACUGAGACACGGCCCAAACUCCUACGGGAGGCAGCAGUAGGGAAUCUUCCGCAAUGGACGCAAGUCUGACGGAGCAACGCCGCGUGAGUGAAGAAGGUCUUCGGAUCGUAAAGCUCUGUUGUUAGAGAAGAACAGCGCAUAGAGUAACUGCUAUGCGUGUGACGGUAUCUAACCAGAAAGCCACGGCUAACUACGUG